GUGUGGUUUCAGUUGUAGAAAUGUGACACACUUUCAUUGUUGCUAUUGCACGUGUAACAGUAUAGCCAUUUCACAUCGGUUACACUCACCCCCCUUUUGACCUCCUCCUUUUCCGCAGCAACCAGUGAUCCGGGUCAACAGCAUCAAUAUAGCUUCCGUCCCUCUCCUCGCCCCUACCUGGGCUCGAACCAGGGACCCUCUGCACACAUCUACAACUGCCAGCCUUGAAGCGUCGUUACCCAUCGCUCCACAAUAGCCAUGGCCUUUGCAGAGCAAGGGGAACAACUACUUCAAGGUCUCAGAGCAAGUGACGUCACCUAUUGAAACGCUAUUAGCGUGCACCCCGCUAACUAGCUAGCCAUUUCACAUCGGUUACACACGGCAACAAUAAUCAACAGAGCACAGUUUCUGAAGCACAUGACAUACCAUCAGCAUCUAUUGGCCCCUCAAGAGCACCCAGAGGCCCUUAAACAGUCCCCAGAGGCCCCUCGAGCUUCGACCCCUCAAGAUAUUGUCCCCUGGACCUUGGAGGACUUUUGGUGUGGAUGAUGUUCAGGGCCUACCAAAGCAAGGUUUCUCAACAACUGUGGGGUGUUUGUUUUGAUGCUCUGUACAUUGCAAUGGAAGCACAGUGUGAUUUCACUGAGGUA